GAGAACGUUAAGACGAGAAGAGUAAUUGCUGAGAGCAACGGCAGAGAGUUCCGGUUAGUGAAAAGGAAUGGUGCGAUGGCAAUGAAGAUGAACUCCGAGCGUUUGGUAGCGAGCUACGGUUAGUUACCAACGGUUGUGCCCGAUACAGCACCACAGUCUGUUGUUCAUACAACGUACUGGUAGAGUCUAACGCUGUGAAACGUUAGAAAAAUAAGGUGGUACCGCGAUUGCGAAAGCGUCGUCCUUUGU
rnacentral:ncRNA from 1 species